rnacentral:tRNA from 1 species
GUGCGCGUAGCUCAAUGGCAGAGCCGCGGGUUGUGAUCCCGCUGACGGCGGUUCGAUUCCGUUCGUGCACCCCA